rnacentral:lncRNA from 1 species
GGAGAAAUGGUGGGCGGUCCAAACGGUGAGCAGCACGCUCCUUACUUAGGUCAUGACCUCUGCCGACUAAAAAGGCUAAACUCAGCGUGGAUUAGGGCUAUACCAGGUACUGGACUCUUCUAGAGUACUGUCACAUCGGUUUGGUCUCUCCUCGUGGUAAACAGAUAACUGGAACAACUGACUUUCCUCUAGAGGAUUUGAACUGGAGGAGGCUUGAAGUUGAACAAUGGAACUCUCAGUACCAACUUCCCUUUACAGUCUGAUCUCAGAAAUCUGACAGCCAGUUGUAUUCCCCCAGACCCUCUACCUUCACCUGUACUGAGGUUGUCCCACAUGGCAGUUUCAGGCGCAAUUCUUCUGGAGAUGACAAAGGGCAGGAAGGUGCUUCAGCUGGUCGGUUGGCCAGAGUUUCUCAUCAAGGAGUACAUGCUGUUUGCUCCCCAGAUGGACAGCCUGGAUGAGCUACAAAUCCACAGAGCCUGGGACACAAGGUGGAAAUUACACUGCCAGUACUUUUAAUCUUGCACAGCUCUGCACACUUGAAAUUGCAAGUGGCCCAUUUCCAAAUGAGCAUCUAUUGGGACAAUAUCCUAUAUCUUGUCAGAAUGAGUCCCAUUAAAUCCUCAGCUGGAAUUAGACCAAAAACUUGUAAUAAUUACAGUAAACUUAUUAAAAAGUUGAAGCCCUA